CCGGAAGGAGGAGGGAGCCCCCCCGCCCCCGGCAGAGGGUCUCCCGGAAGGAGGAAGGGCCCCCCCCGCGGAGGGUCUCCCAGAAGGAGGAAGGCCCCCCCACGGAGGGUCUCCCGGAAGGAGGAGGGAGCCCCCCCGCCCCCGGCAGAGGGUCUCCCGGAAGGAGGAAGGGCCCCCGCCUGCCGCGGACGGUCUCUGGGAAGGUGGGGCUCCAGUUCUAAGUACCGUUGUCACCAAGUGAGCAUCCUUCCAGAUUUCUAGCAAAAUGCUACGCAGACCCCUUUCCGAGGCCGCAUGGCCUAAUCGUCCUCGGAGAGACUGACUGACUUUAUCGGGUGCUUGCGGAGUGCCAGACACGGCUUUCAUUACAUUCGGUCCUUGUGGGGGCCUGCCAGGUGGGCAGCACAGAUGCUGCAGUUUCAUGGAUGACGAUAUUGAAGCACAGAGGAGUCAGGUCACCCGUUCAAGGUCACACCUGGAGUAGGAGGCAGGGCCCUCACCACCACCUCGCCAGGGGCCUCAUUGUGAACUCGGAAAGGGCCCCACCCCUCCAGCGACUCCGAAACCCGUGGAGCUUCCCUCUGUGAAAUCCUGAUCGAGGGCUUCGCUCCCAGUACGCGCCAGGCCCUCUGCCAGGCGGAAAAACAUUUCCUGCUCUGAGCUCAUCUUAGCCUCCUGGGCGGGCGAGGCUUUGGUGCCCUCCGGGAGUGCCGACCCACCCACGUUCCGGAUCAGCGAAACAAACUCGGCGUCUGCACUGGCUUCCCGUCAUCCGAGCGGUACAGCCAAGAAGCGCUCUCAAAAGAUACGUCAACGUCUCUGGACUUCAGUCCCCUGAAGCAAAUCACAAUAAUGAGAAUCCGCUCCCAGGCCUGCCAUGAACGCGAAGUGGCCCAUAAACAGCAGCUCUGUGCGUGUGUGGAUGAGAGAGUGAACGCGAGAGCUCUGCAGACCUCAAUCUCACGCCCGCAAGGAUUUGCCGAUGGCUGCUUAGAAAGCUGUGCUUACCCUGGGCCUCAGUGCAGCUGAUCACUUGGGGCAGUGGCACAGCAGGAACAGGGAGGGAAGCACUUAUCCCCAGCAGCCACAAGAGUGGAGGCAAAGCUUCAUACCCACCUUAGCUUCCCAAUUCCCCUGGCUGUCCUCCCAGCCUAGUUUUUAAAUAUCUGAAUCUUAAGCGUGCACCUAGGAGUCAUCUUAAUAAAUCGCAUCCCUCCCUGAAGGUC